rnacentral:rRNA from 1 species
GGCGGGACACGUGGUAUCCUGUCUGAAUAUGGGGGGACCAUCCUCCAAGGCUAAAUACUCCUGACUGACCGAUAGUGAACCAGUACCGUGAGGGAAAGGCGAAAAGAACCCCGGCGAGGGGAGUGAAAAAGAACCUGAAACCGUGUACGUACAAGCAGUGGGAGCCUCUUUAUGGGGUGACUGCGUACCUUUUGUAUAAUGGGUCAGCGACUUAUAUUCUGUAGCAAGGUUAACCGUAUAGGGGAGCCGAAGGGAAACCGAGUCUUAACUGGGCGUUAAGUUGCAGGGUAUAGACCCGAAACCCGGUGAUCUAGCCAUGGGCAGGUUGAAGGUUGGGUAACACUAACUGGAGGACCGAACCGACUAAUGUUGAAAAAUUAGCGGAUGACCUGUGGCUGGGGGUG